CGAUCUUAUCACGUUGAAACACCGGUUCCCGUACAAUCAUCGAAGUUAAGUAACGUCAAGCCUGGCUAAUACCUAGAUGGGUGACUGCUUAGGAAUACCAGGUACUGUAAG